rnacentral:rRNA from 1 species
UACGUAGGGGGCAAGCGUUGUCCGGAAUCAUUGGGCGUAAAGGGCGCGUAGGUGGCCCGGUCAGUCUUUGGUGAAAGCGCGGGGCUCAACCCUGCGUCGGCCAGGGAUACUGCCGCGGCUCGAGCACUGUAGAGGCAGGCGGAAUUCCGGGUGUAGCGGUGGAAUGCGUAGAGAUCCGGAAGAACACCGGUGGCGAAGGCGGCCUGCUGGGCAGUUUAGCUGACACUGAGGCGCGACAGCGUGGGGAGCAAACAGG